UGUUGCCACAGUCUAUUGAAUUUAAAUCCAGAUUACUUGCAGCACGUCAAUCAAACAUUGAGCGAAUCACUCGAACAAGUUCUCAACAAAGUUACUCUGUUACAGAUGAGUUAGACAAAGGAAUUGUACUGUUUAAAACUAUUAGGGAUUUAGUUCAGUGCACGCAAGAAUCCAGCUAUUGGAUUGCGGCAAAAUUGGUUAAUUUGGAACUUGACCGAGGAUGGUCAUACUUGACAUGCAACAAGUGUAGUCGAAAGGUGGAAAAAGUUGGAAAUAAAUACUUUUGUGCCAAAUGCAAUGAAGAAGAGUCUUCUGUUACUCACAGGUUAGUACUAUU